AAAGUGAAGAGUCGGAUGAGCUUUUGAUGAUUUUGGAGGAGCCCACAAGAAGUGGUGUAUCUGAGAUGGCUUCGGAGGGAUCCACGGAGUGUGGAGGGUCUGAAGGAGCAGCAAUAAUGUUCGAGGUGCAGCGGCAGGCCUAGUAGGAUAGCAUUGGGUGGUUGGCCUCAGGAGUCUUGGUUAUAGAGUCAGCUUCUACAGCAUCAAGGGGACUUCAGAUUCAAGUGG
rnacentral:lncRNA from 1 species